GCUUGGCCUUAUCAAAGCCACAGCUGAUUCUAGACAGCUCCCGUAGUAAAAAAAAAAAAAAAAAAAAAAAAAGGCCCAGUGUAAAGCAUUUCCUGGACAAUUAUGAUUUUGUUUGCUAUGACUGACCUAUAUUUUUAGAAGAGACAGUG